rfam:Trichobilharzia regenti genome assembly, scaffold: TRE_scaffold0049167
AUCCAGGUGACGAGUCCAAAAUGGGACGAAAUGCGCAUCCUGGAU